rnacentral:rRNA from 1 species
UACGAGGGGGGCGAGCGUUGUUCGGAAUUACUGGGCGUAAAGGGCGCGCAGGCGGCUCUGAAAGUCAGAUGUGAAAGCCCCGGGCUUAACCUGGGAAUUGCAUUUGAUACUCUGGAGCUUGAGUGUGGGAGAGGAGAGUGGAAUUCCCAGUGUAGAGGUGAAAUUCGUAGAUAUUGGGAAGAACACCGGUGGCGAAGGCGGCUCUCUGGACCACAACUGACGCUGAGGCGCGAAAGCGGUGGGGAGCAAACAGGG